rnacentral:rRNA from 1 species
AACGAACGCUGGCGGCAGGCUUAACACAUGCAAGUCGAGCGCCCCGCAAGGGGAGCGGCAGACGGGUGAGUAACGCGUGGGAACGUACCCUUCGGUUCGGAAUAACUCAGGGAAACUUGGGCUAAUACCGGAUACGUCCGUGAGGAGAAAGAUUUAUCGCCGAAGGAUCGGCCCGCGUUGGAUUAGCUAGUUGGUGGGGUAAUGGCCUACCAAGGCGACGAUCCAUAGCUGGUCUGAGAGGAUGAUCAGCCACACUGGGACUGAGACACGGCCCAGACUCCUACGGGAGGCAGCAGUGGGGAAUAUUGGACAAUGGGCGAAAGCCUGAUCCAGCCAUGCCGCGUGAGUGAAGAAGGCCCUAGGGUUGUAAAGCUCUUUCAGUGGGGAAGAUAAUGACGGUACCCACAGAAGAAGCCCCGGGCUAACCUUCGUGCCAGCAGCCGCGGUAAU